rnacentral:rRNA from 1 species
CCCUUAGAUGUUCUGGGCUGCACGCGCGCUACACUGAUACUUUCAGCGAGUCCACCACCUUGCCUGGGAGGGUGGGGUAACCUCUGGAAAGUGCAUCGUGAUGGGGAUCGAUUAUUGUAAUUAUUAAUCUUCAACGAGGAAUUCCUAGUAAGCAUGUGUCAUCAGCCCGUGCUGAUUACGUCCCUGCCCUUUGUACACACCGCCCGUCGCUCCUACCGAUUGAAUGGUCCGGUGAAGCGUUCGGACCGUGGCCUUUGGACGGUUCGCCGUCUGUUGGCUGCGGGAAGUUCGUUAAACCUUAUCAUUUAGAGGAAGGAGAANUCGUAACA